rnacentral:rRNA from 1 species
UGGGGAUUAUUGCACAAUGGGCGCAAGCCUGAUGCAGCCAUGCCGCGUGUAUGAAGAAGGCCUUCGGGUUGUAAAGUACUUUCAGUCGGGAGGAAGGUGUCAAGGUUAAUAACCUUGGCAAUUGACGUUACCGACAGAAGAAGCACCGGCUAACUCCGUGCCAGCAGCCGCGGUAAUACGGAGGGUGCAAGCGUUAAUCGGAAUUACUGGGCGUAAAGCGCACGCAGGCGGUUGAUUGAGUCAGAUGUGAAAUCCCCGGGCUUAACCCGGGAAUUGCAUCUGAUACUGGUCAGCUAGAGGCUUGUAGAGGGGGGUAGAAUUCCAUGUGUAGCGGUGAAAUGCGUAGGGAUGUGGAAGAAUACCGGUGGCGAAGGCGGCCCCCUGGACAAGGACUGACGCUCAGGUGGGAAAGCGUGGGGAGCAAACAGG